rnacentral:lncRNA from 1 species
AUGUGGCCUGCGGAGACAACUACACGCGUUGAGAAUAAAAUGGGGAUUGGAAUUUUCCUCAGAUCCCUGAUUCUGCUCCUCAUAUUGAUUUUGCAUCACCCGAUAAUAUUGGAUGCUAACGAUGAGCCCAAUAUACAGCAAAUGACAACCAUAAUGACCGAGGAUCAAUGCAAGUACAAGCUCCUCUCCUGCAGGGCCGGUGACAGAAGAAUGUUGACUCUCGCCGAAGAUGAUUGCAAUGACGCUUUCAAAGCAUUUAGACGGCUUUCGCAAGAAGUAACCCUAGUGGAAGUGAAGUAUCCGCUGCGGAUACUUAACCAUCCGCAGCGGAUGCUGAGUCCGUGCAAGCAUCCGCCAGCAUCCGCAAGCAUCCGCCGCAUGGGGUUGCACAGGGUAGCAGGCAGUUCCAGGAAAAGCUGCAGGAGCAGGCGGAUGGUUGCGGAUGCUAAGCAUCCGCCAGCAUCUGCAAGCAUCCGCGAGCAUCUGCAAGCAUCCGCGAGCAUCUGCAAGCAUCCGCGAGCAUCCGCAAGCAUCCGCGGGCUCCUACCAGCCUGUGCAGCUCACUAAUUACACUGUUUCUGCACACAGUGAGCAAUUCCUUGUCCAAAGAAGGAGGAUUAUAGCUUAAAAAUCAAGUUUCUUUCACAAAAGAAGAAAAAUUUACUAAAAAAUUGAGUCAAAAUUGCUCUAGAAAUUAAUUUGUAUUUGAAUCAUGUUAAUUGAAGGAUUUCAUCCUAAAGCUGAUCUCAUUUCUGCUUUUAAUAUAGCCAGAAGCCAAGAAAAUACAUUUUUAAGGCAUAAAUAUAUGAAAAAUACUUAUGUCAAAAAUCUGAUGAGCCAUGAGAUGCAUGCCAUCUUAUGGAAUCCAGGGCUCAUCCGAAAAAUGAAAAUUUUCCCUGAUAAUCCAUGCUGGGCUGAGGUUUUUUUUUUAAAAAUUUAAAAAUCCAAUGUAAUUCUCUACUUACUUUACUUUUGACAAGUAUCUGUACACUCAAGAAUCCAUAUUUUAAAAGAGAAAGCAAGUCAACAUAUCUGAUGAGCCGUGAAAUGCACGGAGUCAUAUGGAGUCUAGGGUUCAUCUUGAACUUCAGAUGUUCCCUUCAUAAAAAAUAUGGAUCCAUGAGUUGACAAAUAAUCUCCAAAAGGAGGGUAAUAGAAAAUUAAAUGGAGUUUUUAAAUUUUAAAAACAAGUUCAUUCCAGCUCGGAUCAUCAGCUGGCCUCCACAGACAAAAAGUACGAUGACUACAUAAUAUUCCUCUCAAUCAGAAAGAAACUUGAUUUUUAAGUCUAACUCCUUCUCAGUCGAUCAUUCUGGUCGAAUAUGAGAGGAGAAAAUAGGUCAAUGAGUCGAAUAAAAUGCCAGGAUAUAUGUAGGAAUUAAAUUAAAGGAAUCUAAUGGGCGGUGCACCAUUUGAUGCAUCACGGUCAUUUGAAGGCGCCGCCGGGCUGACGGGAGCGCCGCUCAACGGGAGAGAGUUCCGCUCCACUUGGACCGGGCAUUGUAAACGACCAUUGACCAACGUUUUACCCUCAUACGAUUCACCCCUUUACAUGCCAAGAAAUGUGCAGUGUCUGUACCUUUUCAAUACACGAACCUCCAGUUGAUUGUCAUACCUAGGUGCAUUCGUCACUUUGUGUAAAAACGGAACAUUUCCAGGAAUCAGCAAUCACCUUCUCAGACUUGCAAUUCUUUCAAACACUGGAUCACUUUUGACCUAGGAAAUGGGACAAUUUUGAGAGAAUCCAUUAAAUCCAUGUGAAUAACAUACAAUAAGAGUCUCCUAAAGUUUUCUUCUCCACAGGGGAGAUUUAUGUUGGAUAAAUAUCACCAGGCUCAGUUUGGUAAUCAUUUUUCACACUCAAUUUCCCAAAAAAUUUGGCAACAUCGGAUCUGCCUCCAUUUGAUAAAAAUAUCCAUUAUUUUCACCGGAAAACAGACUAAAUAUUUUAUUACUUUCACUAAUCUCAGUGUGGAAGGACGAAAUUAAAUAAAGUUUUAAAGGGGGGGGGGGAGAGAGAGAAAAAAAAUUGAAUUAAAGUUAAAAACUAAACAGACCAACUCUUCAAUUGAGAUGAUUCAAGACUUAUCAUCCUUCCUGUGGGCAUCAUUGAGCUAUUCUAUCACCUUUCCAGUUCGGAAAAAAAAAUUACACGAGUAGAGAAAAUUAGUUUCAAUCUGAGAUUUAAUUUUUAAUUUUAUUUUGUAUGAUUCUGUUGUAACCAUCCAUUUUUGAGUGGAAAAUUUUCAGCAAUGAUUUGCUUGGUCAAAGGCUCGUACCCAUCAAAACUUUUUUAACCUUUUUUUCCCCGUGAAGCCUCUCACAAAUGUUCUUAUCUAUUUCAGCAUGCCAAAAAAUAAGAAUAAUCUGUACCUUCUUUGCACAUGGUCUUCCAAAAUAUUCCACACUAUGAGGCAUUCUUCACUCCGUGCAAGAAUAGACAAAUUCCAAGAAUUCAAGGAUCAGGUAGUGAUUUUUAGAAAAAUUGCAUCGUCACUGGCCUAAAAAAUUAAAAAAUAAUCAUCAUUUACCAGGGUCACACUCAAAAUGAAUUGUAAAAAUUUCUGAAUUUUGAUAGUUAUAACUGAAUAUUUCAAGUUAAACUGACCGAUUCUUUUCAUAAAUUUUAAGCAAGAGCUUUUCCUUCAGCAGCAACCGUG